UACGUAGGCGGAAAAUUAAGUCAGUAGUGAAAUCCCGCAGCUUAACUGUGGAACUGUUAUUGAUACUGGUUUUCUUGAAUAUAGUUGAGGUAGGCGGAAUGUGUAAUGUAGCGGUGAAAUGCUUAGAUAUUACACAGAACACCGAUUGCGAAGGCAGCUUACCAAGCUAUGAUUGACGCUGAGGUACGAAAGCGUGGGGAGCGAACAGGAUUAGAUACCCUGGUAGUCC
rnacentral:rRNA from 1 species